rnacentral:rRNA from 1 species
UACGGAGGGUGCAAGCGUUAUCCGGAUUCACUGGGUUUAAAGGGUGCGUAGGUGGGUUGGUAAGUCAGUGGUGAAAUCCCCGAGCUUAACUUGGGAACUGCCAUUGAUACUAUCAGUCUUGAAUACCGUGGAGGUCAGCGGAAUAUGUCAUGUAGCGGUGAAAUGCUUAGAUAUGACAUAGAACACCAAUUGCGAAGGCAGCUGGCUACACGAAUAUUGACACUCAGGCACGAAAGCGUGGGGAUCAAACAGG